ACGAGCUUAUUCUUGUCGUUUUCAGUCUAGUGACAAAGAAGAAAAAGAAGAUGAUCGUAUUGGACUUCAUUCAUUGACUCGGGAUGUCGGUGGUUGCAGUGCUGGGUUCUCUUUUGAACUUGGUCUCCCCCAUUGAUGAACGUCCGCUGUCGCUAUUCCAAGGCAGCGUGAGUGAGUGGAGUGAUAUGA
rnacentral:snoRNA from 1 species